rnacentral:lncRNA from 1 species
UUACUCUCUACAGAUUUUGCCCUCCUUAAUCACUCCAGGCACAAAACCUUGUGAAAAAGUUGAAGGAUUGAAAUCAGGAGUUAUCAGAUUUUCACGGAAAGAGGUCCAUGAUGAUUUUUUGGUACAUAUUCCACGCAAGGAAGAUUUACGAGUCGAGCUUCAAAGGAGGAAUGAAAAACUAAGUCAACUCAAACUUAAAUCAGAACCUGUUCCGGUCUUAGUCGGCGAUCCUGAACAUUUGGCUUGCUAUGUUGAGAUAAACGAUACCUUGUAUAGCGUGAAAAGUCCACUUGAUGCCGUAGAUAUUGCUUUUAAAGCCAUUUUUGUUUUUGAUGCUGCAUAUUCUAUCCCGAGUGAAAAAGUUUGGAUUUUCCUUGAAAAAUUCAUUUACCGCCUUUCUAAUUUAACUGAGACUCGGGCAAUAAAAAGCAAACGGUCCACAACUUCAGAUAUUGAAUGCCUUGCUGGCGAGUUAGGUUUAGUUCGUCCACAAGAGCAGACUUUGAAUCCAGGUCCUUCAGUCUAGUGAUCCUGAGCAUUUGGCUCGCUAUGUUGAGAUAAACGAUACCUUGUGUUGGGUGAAAAGUCCACUCGAUGCAUUAGAUAUUGUCUUUAGAGCCAUUUUUGUUUUUGAUGCUGCAUAUUCUAUUCCUAGUGAAAAAGUUUGGAUUUUCCUUGAAAAAUUCAUUUACCGCUUUUCUGAUUUUACUGCGACUCACGCAAUAAAAAGCAAACGGCCCACAACUUAAGAUGUUGAAUGCCUUGCUAGAUAGUUAGGUUUAGUUCGUCCACAAGUGUAGACUUUGACUUGCCAGGUUCUUCAGUGUAGUGCCCGUUUUUUGUUCAAAUGUAAUUUGUUUCCAGAGAUUUUUUUUUCCACCAUUUUUAUGUUGUGAUAGUUCAAAACUUUUACUUUUUUAAGAAUAAUAAUUCAAGAAAAAUGCCUGUCUGUCAUAUAUGCCGCAACAAUCUUGAAACUUUGAAUGAUUACUCUAUGCACCUCCGAAUUAUUCAUGCGCGGCAUGGGAGUUAUCCAGUACCAUGUGCAGAAGAAGAGUGUCCUAGAGUAUUCUCCAAUUUUGAUAAUUUUAAAGUGCAUUUCAAGAGAGAACAUGUUCAAAACGCUCAAUUACCUCCUGACGAUCUAUUGGUAGGUGAAGUCAAUCAAAAUAUUCAGCCUCCCGAUGAUGCUCAAAAUGCCCCAGAUGGUGCUCUUGAGGACAAUUUUGAUAAUCCUUUCGAUAAUCCCUUUAAUGAGGAAAUCAAUAAUAUUGAUGAUAUUGAUUUUGAAGAGGCUCUGUUAAAAUUGAGCUCCUUAUUUGUUUCUAGAAUUAGUGGUCACCCCAAGAUCCCUAGAAAUGCUUGUCAGAGGAUAAUUGAAUUUUCUAUCGAGCUGGCUGACACAGUGUCAGUCUUGCUACAGUCUAAAGUUAACAAACACUUGCGCAAAGAAGGCGGACCCACAGCAGAUGACUGGGAUGUAAUUGAUGACUGUUUUAUUGCUGCUCGAAGACCCUUUGAGAAAUUAAAAACAGAACACCUACGGACCAAAUACUUCUCUGAAAAAGGUGGCCAUUUAACAUUUAAGUUCCAUAAUUUAUUGCAUUACGGAAGAUUAUUCUUAAAAUUUGGUCCAAUGAGAUGGCUUAUGUGUUUUCGAUUUGAAGCAUUUCACCAACGUGGGAAGAUUGCAUCUGCCUACUUAAAUUGCCAUCGUAAUGUACCAAAAUCAACCUCCAUCAGAUACCAAUUACAUAUGUGUAAUCUUGUGCACUCAUCAACCUUGUUCCCUGAUGAUCUUGAACAUGGCCCAGCAGUACGUGUUGCUUUGGGAAAUUUGAACCAGUUUCAAGUUCAAGAAGCUUUCAUGAACCUAAACUUUCCAAACAGAGUGGAUAUCUGCUCUUGGAUUAAGCUAAACAACAAAAUUUUUAAACCAAAAAUGAUCAUCGUGUGUGUCACUGACGAUGACAUGCCAUGUUUUAGAAAAAUUGAAAAAAUAAUUAUUCUACCUAAUCGGUCUGUUUACUUCAUUUGUUCCAAAUUUUUAACAAUUUCGUAUGAAAGACAUUUCUGCUCGUAUCUGAUUGAAAAAUGUGAUGCCAAUACGAUCAUAAGUGAAAAUGAACUUGAAACUGUUUCUCCCCUCUCCCUGUCAAAAAUUGGAGACAAACUUUUUGUUACUUUGCCCUACAACAUGUGAUUUAACACUUGAAAUUCCUUAUUUUAUUUUUUCGCCCAAAAUUCAUUCAUUCCUGUUCUUUUUAUUUUAAUGACAUUUUUCCAGAAUUUUCAAAGAAAAAAAAAGAACCAGUUAAGAUUCAAAUGUACGUAUAUUAGUUGGAUUGCAUUUUGCAAAAAGGAACCACUAGCAUUACAAUGUUGCUAAGAUUGUGCAACUUCUUUUGUCUCGGAGGAAAAACCCGAUUAUCCCUUAAUAGUUUCUAUUUUACUCGCUUAAAACUGUAAAUUUAAGACAAAAAUUACCAUCUAAAUUCCAUAGUUUUUCACAAUUUCCGCAAUUUUAUUGCAAAGGAUGAAGUUGCACAAUCUUAGCAUCAUUGCAAUGCUAGUGGUUCCUUUUUGCAAAAUGCAAUCCAGUUAGGAAAACUUCACUCCAUUUUGGUUUACUCAAUUGUUUUCCAUUUGUUUUGAUUUUUUUUACUCUUGAUGCACUUAUACACCUGGAACACCUGGAACGUUUUGUGUUCUUUUGCCCCUUAAGGUAUAGAAUUUGAUCUACACUUGUCAUUCCUUUUUUCUAAAGAAAACGGGUAGCCUUUGUUUAUUCAUAAUCUUUAUUCUAUGUGUCUUCUUCUGCAGUUCUUACUUUGUUUCCUUCCAAUAUUUUCCCAAUUACUGCAGCUUUACAUUUCACAUCCUAUUUUCUAAGACUGUUUGUUCUCAGGUUCCUAUGAUUAUUUUAAGAGCUCAUGUUUUGAACAUUUAGAGAGAAGAAAAUGUUUAAAUGCUACUGUAGAUUAUUUGCCCCCCCCCCCCCUGUCUCCCCCAAAAAGAAAGUAAUGGCAUGCAUAAGGUGCUUUUGCCAGAUCAUUUUUUCUCAGUAUCUGUUACAGGUGGUUUCCAAAGUACGAAUUGAAUCAAGUAUCCGUUCAUGAUUCAAAAGAAUACUUAAAUAUGGAAUACUCUUAUGACAGCAUUUUUCUUAUUUAUUUUCGGUGAGAAGUCUUCAGUUGUUUUUGUUUUGUUGACUCUUUUUUCCUUUCUGUAGUGGUGAAUUGGUGAUUUGCUGAAGGAAAGCAAGGUAUGUGAAUUACAGGUUUUCAGACUCUUUUUUCAAAACUUGCUCACAAUUGCACAUUUGUAAAACAUGCACUUUUUUCAUAACUGACUGCAUUGCCUACUUUACUUUAAACUUUAAAUAAUUCAUAUGCUCAAAUUAGUGAUUAAAUUCGUCUACUACUAUUUUUCAUAAGGCAAGCUGCAUGAGGAGAUACUGAAAUGCAGUAAUUCACAUACAUAGCCUUUCUAAUAGAAAUAUGGUGUAGACUGUUGUUACCUCAGGCCUGGUUCUAUCAACUGUUGCUACAGAUUUAUCUUCUGGUUAAAAUGUAACAAGCUCUCCGUAGUACCCAUGAAAUUUUAACUGGAGGCUAAGACUCUUAGUCCCAAUAUGUCUCGAACGGGAGCCAAAAAAUCCCCCUUAAGUAGUGUUAAAAGAUUUGCUUUGACAAAAGGUUAAAUUUAAGCAGAGUUGUUAGAGCUGGGCCUAAAACUUGUUGUUCAAGUUACAUUUUUCUUUUUCUCAU